UUCAUCAAACACCUUCAGGGAGAGCGAAUCCCCCGCCUCCCUGGUCAGUUCAUCCCAAUGUCUGUUCACCGUUUGUAUGAAGAAAUUCCUCCUAAUGUCCAACCUGGACCUCCCCUGGCGCAGCUGAAGACUAUGUCCUCUUGUCUUUUCCCUUGUGAGCUGGGAGAAGGGGCCGACCCCCGCCUGGCUACACCCUCCUUUCUGGUACCCCUGGGGAAGAGGAGGAGGCAGAUUUGAGCAAUGGACACUUUUACACAGUUGUUGAAAUAAAAAUCUUGUCUUGCUUCUGCUGCAUUUAUAACAUCUGAACUCUGUACAGGCAACGGAGCACGUGUUGGUUCUGUCCUGUGCUCUCUGCCCUGGAGCAACAACAAGUGCUGCUGGUCAAAAGGCUCUUAUUUUGUGAGUCUACCAAAGAGGGACUGCAAGUGGAAAAUGGGUGGAAGAAAAUCAACAGUACCACUCAAAAACAUUCCUUUCCUGUUCCAAUACUUGGACUUGAGUGUUCUUGUUAAAUCACCGUAUAGACUGGAAAUGCUUAGUGAUUUGUACAGAAUUGCAGGAAGAAGGAAAUCCCGUGAAAGCACACCAUUCCAGACCCAGAUGGACUUCUAUGCUUGACAAGGAGAAUUUUGCCACCAGUUCAAUUGAGAACACUUGGGGUAAACCUUCUG